rnacentral:rRNA from 1 species
ACGAACGCUGGCGGCAUGCCUAACACCUGCAAGUCGAACGAGACCUUCGGGUCUAGUGGCGCACGGGUGCGUAACGCGUGGGAAUCUGCCCUUGGGUUCGGAAUAACAGUGAGAAAUUACUGCUAAUACCGGAUGAUGUCUUCGGACCAAAGAUUUAUCGCCCAGGGAUGAGCCCGCGUAGGAUUAGCUAGUUGGUGGGGUAAUGGCCUACCAAGGCGACGAUCCUUAGCUGGUCUGAGAGGAUGAUCAGCCACACUGGGACUGAGACACGGCCCAGACUCCUACGGGAGGCAGCAGUGGGGAAUAUUGGACAAUGGGCGCAAGCCUGAUCCAGCAAUGCCGCGUGAGUGAUGAAGGCCUUAGGGUUGUAAAGCUCUUUUACCCGGGAUGAUAAUGACAGUACCGGGAGAAUAAGCUCCGGCUAACUCCGUG